rnacentral:rRNA from 1 species
GAUGAACGCUAGCGGAAGGCAUAAUACAUGCAAGUCGAACGGAUGUAGCAAUACAUUAGUGGCGCACGGGUGCGUAACGCGUAUGCAACCUACCUUCAUCAGGGGGAUAACUACCCGAAAGGAUGGCUAACACCGCAUAAUACUACUGAAUGGCAUCAUUUGGUAUUUAAAUCUGAGGAGGAUGAAGAUGGGCAUGCGUCUGAUUAGCUAGUUGGUGUGGUAACGGCGCACCAGGGCGACGAUCAGUAGGGGAACUGAGAGGUUGGUCCCCCACACUGGCACUGAGAUACGGGCCAGACUCCUACGGGAGGCAGCAGUAGGGAAUAUUGGCCAAUGGUGGGAACACUGAACCAGCCAUUCCGCGUGCAGGAAGAAGGGUCUCUGACUUGUAAACUGCUUUAGCAAGGGAAGAAAAAGCUCAUGCGUGAGAAAUUGACGGUACCUUGAGAAUAAGCACCGGCUAACUACGUGCCAGCCGCCGCCGUAACAC